UAGAAAGUUACCCCGACACUUUUGAUCAUCCGUCCAGAGUAAGAAGGAAAAAUAAAGAGUAGCGUGGUCUGUCCCCGGGGGAGGGAAGGUAGGAGGGUCCCGUCAAGUGGGCAAAGCCAUUUUCAGCCAGAGCGGCGAGUCCAGCCCAUUGACAAUUCAGCCCCGGAAAGGGUUAACUGCAUCCUGCCGGUUCGGUUUACAUGUAAAUAGAGAGCAGCUGCUCCGCGCGGGCCCCGGCUGGCCCUUUUAAGUUUUUGAUUGGUUGCCAAUGACAUCACCUCCCGUGUUAUAACACUGAGGAUCCAAAGCGGCGUCGGAUAAACCCUCCUUAAAGAGACGAGGCCACGCCCCCGGCUCCUCCCCCUCCUGCUGCCCAUUGGCCGUGGGCUGCUGUGAGGUAGCGGUCAGCUUUCUCCGGAUUCCCAUUGGUCCAGCGCACCGUCGGUCGGCAGCCGGCCCGCCCCCUCAGAACCUUACAUUUACAGUGUAGCAAAAGAGAAAGUAACUAUGUUGCUGCUGGAGAUCAAUGAAGCCAAGUGAAUGGGGGCUGAAUGCGCGAAUCCAUAGCUGAAGCGGAGCGCCAAAUGGUGGAGGGCUACACUUAUUUAUGAACCCCUGUCUGGAGGUGGAAGGAGGACUACAGAGGGGUGGGAUAGCUCAGUAUUUCUCUGAAAGGUUUCCUGGGCCAGUCUGGAUGGUUUCACGGGCAAUAUAUACGCCCGACCCUCUACUGCAGGGAUGCAGAUCUCGUUACACACUCCGUGCGUGUGUGUGUGUCUGUGUGUGAGCCGCGCACGCCGUGUGGAAGUGGGGGUCCCAGCUUGUGUCUCCGUGAACACGCUUUUGCGUCCCUCUCCAAGGAAAACGACUGUUGAUCCUGGGACGUACCCUACCAGGUAACACAAUAGCAAAGACUUCACCGCUUGGUCCAGCUGGGAAACAGUUAUAGCUUCUGGAAUAGUACUUGCUCUUCAAAAAAUACUACGCAAGGGAAGGAGGAAAGGAGGAAGGGAAGGAGGGAAGGGAUUGGACCCUUCGCUCCCAUCUAAAGGUGGGUGAGAGAAACCUGAGUCGGUGGGGAUCUGGGGACGCGAUGGGUGCGUGCCCCUCUGGGUGUGCGUGUGUGCGCGCGCCUGUGUGUGGAUUCUGCCCGUGACACUUUGGCUCUAUGUCAGACAAUGGUGACGGUCGCGUGUAGACGGGUGAUAGAUGACAUUUUUCCAGACAUUUCUUAAAGUUCUUUUAGGUGAGCGACUCUUGCAUGGGGUUUGGUUUCUUUUCUGUGUGCAUGUCUAAUAGGACAGGAGCCAGGGGGCGGGUUGUAGAGUGCCCCUGUGCCUACAGGGAGGAAGGAAUUGUCUCUUUGCAGGCGCUCUCUCAUGAGGCAGGAGGUAGACCCUGUGGGCAACGCUUCCCUGCCCCCUUUAACAGGGACGGGCUAAUUGAGAAGUCUUCUUUAUGGAACCCAUCCGCUUGUAAGAGGGGGGAUAUCUGUGUGGGAUUGAAAUAUUAUGCACGGUGGCUGCUUCCCGUUGUGAGAAGCUCUAGGCUGCAUAGUCUAUGCCACUAGAGAAAUGGAGAAGGGGGGAGAGUCGAAGUGGUCCUUUCCUUAAAGGCAGGAGG
ensembl:lncRNA